rnacentral:rRNA from 3 species
CUUGACCUCGGAUCAGGUAGGGAUACA